AGUUUGAUCCUGGCUCAGGAUGAACGCUAGCUACAGGCUUAACACAUGCAAGUCGAGGGGAAACGACAUCGAAAGCUUGCUUUUGAUGGGCGUCGACCGGCGCACGGGUGAGUAACGCGUAUCCAACCUGCCCACCACUUGGGGAUAACCUUGCGAAAGUAAGACUAAUACCCAAUGACAUCCAUAGAAGACAUCUGAAAUGGAUUAAAGAUUUAUCGGUGAUGGAUGGGGAUGCGUCUGAUUAGCUUGUUGGCGGGGUGACGGCCCACCAAGGCGACGAUCAGUAGGGGUUCUGAGAGGAAGGUCCCCCACAUUGGAACUGAGACACGGUCCAAACUCCUACGGGAGGCAGCAGUGAGGAAUAUUGGUCAAUGGACGAGAGUCUGAACCAGCCAAGUAGCGUGCAGGAAGACGGCCCUAUGGGUUGUAAACUGCUUUUAUAAGGGAAUAAAGUGGGAGUCGUGACUCCUUUUGCAUGUACCUUAUGAAUAAGGACCGGCUAAUUCCGUGCCAGCAGCCGCGGUAAUACGGAAGGUCCGGGCGUUAUCCGGAUUUAUUGGGUUUAAAGGGAGCGUAGGCCGGAGAUUAAGCGUGUUGUGAAAUGUAGACGCUCAACGUCUGCACUGCAGCGCGAACUGGUUUCCUUGAGUACGCACAAAGUGGGCGGAAUUCGUGGUGUAGCGGUGAAAUGCUUAGAUAUCACGAAGAACUCCGAUUGCGAAGGCAGCUCACUGGAGCGCAACUGACGCUGAAGCUCGAAAGUGCGGGUAUCAAACAGGAUUAGAUACCCUGGUAGUCCGCACGGUAAACGAUGGAUGCCCGCUGUUGGUCUGAAUAGGUCAGCGGCCAAGCGAAAGCAUUAAGCAUCCCACCUGGGGAGUACGCCGGCA
rnacentral:rRNA from 1 species